rnacentral:rRNA from 1 species
UACGAAGGGGGCUAGCGUUGUUCGGAAUUACUGGGCGUAAAGGGCGCGUAGGCGGUUUAACAAGUUGGGUGUGAAAGCCCAGGGCUCAACCCUGGAACUGCACUCAAGACUGUUUUACUUGAAUUCGGUAGAGGAUGGUGGAAUUCCCAGUGUAGAGGUGAAAUUCGUAGAGAUUGGGAAGAAUAUCCGUGGCGAAGGCGGCCAUCUGGACCGACAUUGACGCUGAGGCGCGAAAGCGUGGGGAGCAAACAGG